rnacentral:rRNA from 1 species
GAGUAAUACAUCGGAACGUGUCCUGUAGUGGGGGAUAGCCCGGCGAAAGCCGGAUUAAUACCGCAUACGCUCUACGGAGGAAAGGGGGGGAUCUCAGGACCUCUCGCUACAGGGGCGGCCGAUGGCAGAUUAGCUAGUUGGUGGGGUAAAGGCCUACCAAGGCGACGAUCUGUAGCUGGUCUGAGAGGACGACCAGCCACACUGGGACUGAGACACGGCCCAGACUCCUACGGGAGGCAGCAGUGGGGAAUUUUGGACAAUGGGCGCAAGCCUGAUCCAGCAAUGCCGCGUGUGUGAAGAAGGCCUUCGGGUUGUAAAGCACUUUUGUCCGGAAAGAAAUCCUUUGAGCUAAUACCUCGGGGGGAUGACGGUACCGGAAGAAUAAGCACCGGCUAACUACGUGCCAGCAGCCGCGGUAAUACGUAGGGUGCAAGCGUUAAUCGGAAUUACUGGGCGUAAAGCGUGCGCAGGCGGUUCGCUAAGACAGAUGUGAAAUCCCCGGGCUUAACCUGGGAACUGCAUUUGUGACUGGCGGGCUAGAGUAUGGCAGAGGGGGGUAGAAUUCCACGUGUAGCAGUGAAAUGCGUAGAGAUGUGGAGGAAUACCGAUGGCGAAGGCAGCCCCCUGGGCCAAUACUGACGCUCAUGCACGAAAGCGUGGGGAGCA